rnacentral:lncRNA from 1 species
CUCUGACCUUUUCUAACUCACACGUUUUUCUGCUUUGGGGGAUUGAACUACUCCUGGCUCCACCUCUCUGGUAUUUAAAUAAAGUCUGCAUAAAAUACUAAACUCACUUAUCUUCCAGGCUUUGCUCAGUCUCCAUAGCAACCUCCCUAGAAACAGACUUCUUUAAAAAGGAAUCUCAAAAAAGUUGGGAUCAUAUAGGACUGUGUUCUUUACAAUUGUACUGAAAAUUGGAAAAAAUAAAACCAGCUGUCUCAUCACAACCUCCGCUGACUUCGCUCUCGUUCCAUAACGCUCUGGCCUGGUCAUCCGCUUCCGCUCUGCCCGGACCGUCCAGUCUCCACGUUGCAGUUGGAACCAUCUCCAAACGCAACUUUCUUAUGAGAAGAAAAUUUAGUGAUUUGCACUAGCCUUUGGGAAAAAUGCAGCUUACGUGCACGGAGACAAGACCAGCAUGAAUCCACUUGAUGCUUAGUUGCAGUUUGAAGAGAAAGAAGAAAAAGAAACCUAGAAAGGAUAAAUGGCUCUGCAGCAUGUCGAUGCAUUUACAGCACUCCUUAAAGAGAUUAGUAAUGAUGCAACAGUCUGUGGAGAUGUGGAGAAAUAAUGGUAUCCGUUCCCAGCUACAAAGAUUAAGAGUAUCACUGAAUUGCCCCAGGGACCCAUCAGUCAUUCUUCUCUUCUCGUCUUAUGCAGUGGCAGCAGGGAAAAUAUUCUAUGUAUCUGUCUCCUGAGACAACUGAUUGGUUCCCAGAAACAUCAUCGCCUCACGGAAGGACAAGUUAACUGGAUAUCCUAAAAGAACAUUGUAUACAAUGCUUAUUUUAUUUUAUUUUUCCAAGCUCUAUUUUUAAAGUAAAGUUGUAACUCAAAAGCUUGCAUAUUGGUGACCACAUGGUCUAGAAACAACUUGUCCAAUAAGCAUAAGCAUGUUUAAGGGGAUUGGUAUUGAUCACAAAGCCUCCCUCUUUGCUCUAAUUUCAUGUGGAUGCACUGGCAUCAAAGACAUAUGGGAAGAAAAAUUGAGUAAUGAGGCUGCCAUAGAAUAUAACUCCUUAUAGCCUUUCAAAGGAGUGAAAUCUUUAGC